UACCAGCACCCCGAGUGGUCGGGACGAUUAUUGGGCCUAAAGCAUCCGUAGCCGGUUCUACAAGUCUUCCGUUAAAUCCACCUGCUUAACAGAUGGGCUGCGGAGGAUACUAUGGAGCUAGGAGGCGGGGGAGGCAAGCGGUACUUAGUGGGUAGGGGUAAAAUCCGUUGAUCCAUUGAAGACCACCAGUGGCGAAGGCGGCUUGCCAGAACGCACUCGACGGUGAGGGAUGAAAGCUGGGGGAGCAAACCGG
rnacentral:rRNA from 1 species